GGACUCGUUUACUCGAAUUGGUCUGCGUGGGGCACUAAUUCGAGUCAACAGGGUCGUU
rnacentral:pre_miRNA from 1 species